rnacentral:misc_RNA from 1 species
GCCCACUGCCCUCCAUGGACAGCACAGACGCUGCGACAACAGCGGCGUGGGCGUUUGCCGCCGCACCGGCGGAAGGCGUCCCAGCUCUGGAGUUGCUGGUGAAUGAGUACGCAUGGCUGAGCGCGCUGCCUUUCGAUGAUCUUCUGACGCACAGUGGCUCUCAUCAGGGGCGGCUGACGGGCGCACGGGAGCUGAUGAGCUCCCUCCUGUCGGUGUCGAUGCCGUGCCCUUCGCCUGCGCAGGUGUCGCUGUACGUGGUCCUGGCGUCACGCGUGUACGUGGCACUGUUCUUGGAUACGGUGGAGCGCAAGCGCCGACUUCUACGCUCGGAGAAGUUGGAUACGUUUGCUUGCGUAGACGAGGGCUGUUUUCUUGCACGCGUGCACGCGACAAUGCAAGCAUGGACGCGUGAUCUCGUCCCUAUUCUCGUGCGCUCGGUUCUGCCGUGCCUGCACCUCCGCGACGCGGAGCCUACCACAGUCAGAGCUUCGAACCCGCUUGAUCGUUCACCGAGUGCGUCGGGCCUGGCAUCAGACGACGACACUGAGAGCAAGCCCUCAGAGCAGCGGAGGGAUCUGCUCGAGGCACUUCAUGUGUACCGUGUGCGCGAGGAGCUGGUGCGUCUUGUCGUCGCGCUCCGUCGCACUACAGGCGACGAAGAUGAUUCAGCCGCCGCGCUGUUGCUGGCAGCGUAUGCUACACUCUGCAGCACAGAAGUCUGUCCCUCCGUGGCUUUGCCCCGACCACCUCUUCGAGGGUCGACGACCGCGACCCUGCAACAGUGGCGCGCACGCGUUUUGCAAGAGAUGAGUCCGACUACUCCAAGAAACGUGGCAGCUGGGCGUGGAGCCGCAUCUGAGACGGAGGUGGACGGCGACCUCGGCACCAGUUUCACCCGAUGUCUCGCGCGCCUCCGCGGGGUUGCGGGCGAGGUGCACUGCUACCCCUCCGGCGACUCUCUUUCGUUUGCACUAGCAGCUUUGCAGGCUUCCGGGCUCUCCGGUGGCCAUGGCGGCAAAUUGCACCUCGCUGACGUCGAGAGGGGCACUGAACCGCCGGACAGCACCGCAGCCAGCCUCGCCGCGGAGCACGAUCGAGAAGUAGAGGCGUGCACGUUGGUGGCACUGGAUGCGGUGGAUGCCCAUUCAGGGGAGGCGUCGGCGGGGUCUCCAGAGGAGUACUUCUCUUUGCCGCUGUGUCGGCAGGGAGCGCUGCUGCUUCUCGCUGACGUGCUUCGGCACCAGCUCACGGCGGCGGAGCAUCCAUCAUUCGCCUACUCGGUGUCCGCUUCGUCGCUGCUUCUCGGUGUCGCCGAUGCGUACAUUGUAGCUCUGCGUUGCGCGCGCAGUGCAGCCGUGCUCCUGCGGCAUUUGCUUUUUUUGCACGAUCUUCUGUCCGCUGUGCCCAAGUACACGCUCUGUUCUGCCGAAGAGGCGCAGCAUCGCGAGCUACGGGACUGUGGGCAACGGGUGCUCGACUCGUGCCACACGAGGCGCUACGAGUCGUUCUUUGAUAUAGCAAGGGAGCUGCUGACGAUCUCUGCUCUGUGCCCCGUCGAUGAACACCGACGAAUGGCGCGCACGGUGGCACUGGAGCUUCUGGAGCGACUCGAGGAGCGGACGCGGGUCCGCAUGCACGGCUCACUUAUGGCGCUUUGCCCCUACCCGUCCAUCGCCCGCUUCUUUCUUGAAGAGCUGCUGCACGAGUGGCGCGCGGCGAAAAGCGAGAGCGAUCAUCUCGCCGAGCGGCAGGCAUCACCGGUGCACUCGUUGAUGCCUUUGGCGAUUCGGGAAUGCGUGCAAGCUUUCCUCACGCAGGUGUCGAUGGGCACGAGCGGCUUCGUGGACCCGCUCGUUGUCGCGUUGAACUUUGUGCGCGUGGAGGUGUGUCAGCAGGCAUGGAUUCGUUCAUUGUGCACGCCGGCUGCGAUGUCAGCGGCUGGCGAUCGCGAUGCCUCUGUGCGCUGCGCAUGGUGCCAGCUGCUGCGUGCCCUACGCGAGCAACUUCUUCCUCGGUGCCACACACUCAUGGAGAACGCUGCGACCGUAUCCGAAGAGCAUCCGACGAAAUCCUUUGCCGUGGAGGUGUCUCUCACGCCGCUCGACGUGUUCUCGCUCAGCUGCGCCGUCGAGGGUCUCGAGGAGGUGCUAGCGUAGCGGCACGUGCCCGGGUGCUGUCGCAUUCGUGUGUGUGUGUGUGGGGGGGGUGCGAGUCGCGCCCAAGGUUCACGCUGACUUCCCACAUGGAUUCGUUGGUUGAGGCGAAGAGGUGAGAGUGAUGCGGAAGCGACUGAUGUGUCCCGAAACGCAACCAUGACGCUGCCGCAUACUGCUCGCAUUCCACGAAAAGAAAUACGACGCAAAGGAGAUGUCGUAUUCUUAUGCUUUGCGCGCAACCUGCAUCCGCCUCCCUUUCCCUGUCGCGGUUCGGUGUGGACGCCUUUUCUGGGCAGAGGUAUGAUGAUG